rnacentral:rRNA from 1 species
CCUACGGGUGGCAGCAGUGAGGAAUAUUGGUCAAUGGACGCAAGUCUGAACCAGCCAUGCCGCGUGCAGGAAGACGGCUCAAUGAGUUGUAAACUGCUUUUGUAAGAGGGUAAACGCAGAUACGCGUACCUGUCUGAAAGUAACGUACGAAAAAGGAUCGGCUAACUCCGUGCCAGCAGCCGCGGUAAUACGGAGGAUUCAAGCGUUAUCCGGAUUUAUUGGGUUUAAAGGGUGCGGAGGCGGUCGGCUAAGUUAGAGGUGAAAUCCCGAGGCUCAACUUCGGAAUUGCCUCUGAUACUGUUCGUCUCGAGAGUAGUUGCGGUAGGCGGAAUGUGUGGUGUAGCGGUGAAAUGCUUA